rnacentral:rRNA from 1 species
GAUGAACGCUGGCGGCGUGCUUAACACAUGCAAGUCGAACGAUGACGCCCUGCUUGCUGGGUGGAUUAGUGGCGAACGGGUGAGUAACACGUGAGUACCCUGCCCUUUACUCUGGGAUAAGCCUGGGAAACUGGGUCUAAUACUGGAUAUGACUUCUCAUCGCAUGGUGGGGGGUGGAAAGAUUUAUUGGUAUUGGAUGGACUCGCGGCCUAUCAGCUUUUUGGUGAGGUAAUGGCUCACCAAGGCCACGACGGGUAGCCGGCCUGAGAGGGUGACCGGCCACACGGGGACUGAGAGACGGCGCAGACUCCUACGGGAGGCAGCAGUGGGGAAUAUUGCACAAUGGGCGCAAGCCUGAGGCAGAGACGCCGCGUGAGGGAUGACGGCCUUCGGGUUGUAAACAGCAUUCAGUAGGGAAGAAGCGAGAGUGACGGUACCUGCAGAAGAAGCGCCGGCUAACUACGUG